rnacentral:rRNA from 1 species
GUUCGGAUCGCAGGCUGCAACUCGCCUGCGUGAAGUUGGAAUUGCUAGUAAUCGCGGAUCAGCAUGCCGCGGUGAAUACGUUCCCGGGCCUUGUACACACCGCCCGUCACACCAUGGGAGUUUGUAACACCCGAAGUCAGUAUCCUAACCGCGAAGGGGGGAGCUGCCGAAGGUGGGAUAAGCGACUGGGGUGAAGUCGUAACAAGGUAUC